rnacentral:rRNA from 1 species
AUUGAACGCUGGCGGUAGGCCUAACACAUGCAAGUCGAACGCGAAAGUCCUUCGGGAUGAGUAGAGUGGCGGACGGGUGAGUAACGCGUAGGAAUCUAUCCUGUAGUGGGGGAUAACGUUUCGAAAGGAACGCUAAUACCGCAUACGCCCUAAGGGGGAAAGCGGGGGAUCUUCGGACCUCGUGCUAUAGGAGGAGCCUGCGUCGGAUUAGCUAGUUGGUGAGGUAAAGGCUCACCAAGGCGACGAUCCGUAGCUGGUCUGAGAGGAUGAUCAGCCACACCGGAACUGAGACACGGUCCGGACUCCUACGGGAGGCAGCAGUGGGGAAUAUUGCGCAAUGGGCGAAAGCCUGACGCAGCCAUACCGCGUGUGUGAAAGAAGGCCUUCGGUUGUAAAGCACUUCUAGUGGGGAGGAAAGACUGGUGGCUAAUAUCCAUCGGCCGU